rnacentral:rRNA from 1 species
CAGUAGCCACGGUAAUGCGUAGGGUGCAAGCGUUAAUCGGAAUUACUGGGCGUAAAGCGUGCGCAGGCGGUUUGUUAAGACAGAUGUGAAAUCCCCGGGCUCAACCUGGGAACUGCAUUUGUGACUGGCAAGCUAGAGUAUGGCAGAGGGGGGUGGAAUUCCGCGUGUAGCAGUGAAAUGCGUAGAUAUGCGGAGGAACACCGAUGGCGAAGGCAGCCCCCCUGGGCCAAUACUGACGCUCAUGCACGAAAGCGUGGGGAGCAAACAGGAUUAGAUACCCGUGUAGUCCCUGUCUCUUAUA